AUUGAACGCUGGCGGCAUGCCUUACACAUGCAAGUCGAACGGCAGCACGGGGCAACCUGGUGGCGAGUGGCGAACGGGUGAGUAAUGCAUCGGAACGUACCUUUCAGUGGGGGAUAACGUAGCGAAAGUUACGCUAAUACCGCAUAUUCUGUGAGCAGGAAAGCAGGGGAUCGCAAGACCUUGCGCUGAUUGAGCGGCCGAUGUCAGAUUAGCUAGUUGGUGAGGUAAAGGCUCACCAAGGCGACGAUCUGUAGCGGGUCUGAGAGGAUGAUCAGCCACCCUGGAACUGAGACACGGUCCAGACUCCUACGGGAGGCAGCAGUGGGGAAUUUUGGACAAUGGGGGCAACCCUGAUCCAGCCAUGCCGCGUGAGUGAAGAAGGCCUUCGGGUUGUAAAGCUCUUUCGGCCGGGAAGAAAUCGCACGGGCUAAUACCCUGUGUGGAUGACGGUACCGGAAUAAGAAGCACCGGCUAACUACGUGCCAGCAGCCGCCGUAAUAC
rnacentral:rRNA from 1 species